rnacentral:rRNA from 1 species
UGAAGAAACUGCCGGUGACAAGCCGGAGGAAGGUGGGGAUGACGUCAAGUCCUCAUGGCCCUUACGGGCUGGGCUACACACGUGCUACAAUGGCGGUGACAGCGGGAUGCGAAGGGGCGACCCUGAGCUAAUCUCCAAAAACCGUCUCAGUUCGGAUUGUUCUCUGCAACUCGAGAGCAUGAAGUCGGAAUCGCUAGUAAUCGCGGAUCAGCAUGCCGCGGUGAAUACGUUCCCGGGCCUUGUACACACCGCCCGUCACACCAUGGGAGUUGGUUUUACCUUAAGCUGGUGCACUAACCUUCGGGAAGCAGCCAACCACGGUAAGGUCAGCGUCUGGGGUGAAGUCGUAACAAGGUA